rnacentral:tRNA from 1 species
GGGGCAUUAGCUCAGCGGGAGAGCGCUUGAUUCACAUUCAAGAGGUCGCAGGUUCGAAACCCGCAUGCCCCACCA